rnacentral:rRNA from 1 species
UCGGGAAUUUUGGGCAAUGGGGGAAACCCUGACCCAGCAACGCCGCGUGAAGGAUGAAGUAUUUCGGUAUGUAAACUUCGAAAGAAUAGGAAGAAUAAAUGACGGUACUAUUUAUAAGGUCCGGCUAACUACGUGCCAGCAGCCGCGGUAAUACGUAGGGACCAAGCGUUGUUCGGAUUUACUGGGCGUAAAGGGCGCGUAGGCGGCAUGACAAGUCACUUGUGAAAUCUCUGGGCUUAACCCAGAACGGCCAAGUGAUACUGUCACACUAGAGUACAGAAGGGGCAAUCGGAAUUCUUGGUGUAGCGGUGAAAUGCGUAGAUAUCAAGAGGAACACCUGAGGCGAAGGCGGGUUGCUGGGCUGAUACUGACACUGAGGCGCGAAAGCGUGGGGAGCAAACAGGAUUAGAUACCCAUGUAGUCCCUGAGCGGGCUGGCAAGGCGCAU